rnacentral:tRNA from 1 species
UUGUCCGUUGGUCAAGGGGUUAAGACACCGCCUUUUCACGGCGGUAACACGGGUUCGAAUCCCGUACGGACUAU